rnacentral:lncRNA from 1 species
AAGAACUUAUAAAGAGGAAUUGAGUUCCUAUGCUUUUAAAAGUACCAAGUUAUUGGUGCCUGUAGAUUUUUAGCUAUUGGAUUAAAGAUAUGCGGUUAAGAUGAUGCGGGCCCCCUAGGGUUUAGUGGGUGGUUGGUUGAAUAGUAUAAUCUAAUUGUUGAAAAUGAUCUGAGGAGUAGAUCUAACAGUAAAAAACUUACAAGCACCAAGUGCUUGGUGCUUUUACAAUCACCAUAGCUGGACUAUAUAUAUAUAUAUAUAUAUAUAUAUAUAUAUAUAUAAUUAGGCUGGUAUACUAUCAAUAAUACCAAACUAUUUGUGCUAUUAGGUUUUUAGCCUUUGGAUUGAAAAAUGUGCAGUUAGGAUAAUGCGGGCCUCCUAAGGUUGAGUGGAAGGUUGGUUGAAUAAUAUAAUCUAACGGGUAUAAAUAAUCAAAGAGUUAAAUGCAACGGUGAAAAACUCGAUAGUAUCAAACACUUGUUGCUAUCGAUAGUAUCCCAACCGGACUUAGAGAGAAUUAGACUAGAAUACUAUCAAUAGCACCAAGCUAUUGGUGUUUUUGAUUUUUUAGCCCUUAGAUUGAGAAAUUGGUGGUUAGGAUGAUGUGGGCCUCCUAGGGUUGAGUGAGUGGUUGGUUGAAUAGUAUAAUCUAACGGGUAAAAAUAUUCAAAGGGUUAAAUCUAACGGUAGAAAACUUGAUAGUACCAAAUCCUUGGUACUAUCGAUAGUAUCCCAGCCGGACUCUCUCUCUCUCUCUAUAUAUAUAUAAGCACAGCAAUACAACAAGUAAACUAAUUACCUGGUGCACAGCAAUACAACAAGUAAACUAAUUACCUGGUGGUCGAUCGAUGAUCGAUUGUGAAAUCUCGACCGGUACUAGUUUUCUUUGACCAGAUUAAUUAGGCUCUUGCCGAUACAUGAUCUAUCAAGCUUCUUGCUCUUAUAUGUUUCACGUGGCCCCAUCUACAUGAUUAGCAAUUAACGUAGUUGUUGGUGUAACGCCCCCAAUAGUCCCACAUCGGAUGGGAUAUUGAUUCCGAUCAGUUUAUAUGAGGCUUACACGUUAAUAGUAAUAAUUGGGCUUAAGCAUUUUGGGCCGGUGGUUUCGGCCCAACGAGUUAUUGUUGCUAGCGGGUUGGGUCGUUGCAAUUGGUAUCAGAGCCGAAUACCAGCCGAAAGUGUGAGAACUAAGUGCUAUGCGGGACAAAGUGUUACACCAACGGAUUUGGUGGGAGCCACCUCUUGAACCCGUAGGAGCCACCUCUAGAAUCUCACAUCGCCUGAUAAUAGUCCUGGUUUGUCUGUCAGUGAUCUGGUUUGGACCCGACGAGGACGUCAGGGUAAUAAUAACUGGGUUUAAGCAUUUUGGGCCGGUGGUUGGGCCCAACGAGUUAUUGUUGCUAGCGGAUCGGGUCGUUGCAGUUGCAGAAUUGAACUCUUC